rnacentral:tRNA from 1 species
GGGUACAGCUCAGUGGUAGAGCGCUUGCUUAGCAUGCACGAGGUCCUGGGUUCAAUCCCCAGUACCUCCA